GUCUUCAUGUUACUCGCAUUAAUUGUUGAAAGUUUGUCGGCGUCAUUAGUGUCCAAAUUGUACAGGUCGCGAGUGUUGUGUGCAAUAAGAAGAAUGAAAUAAUGAACUUGGAGAUAAAACAAGAAAGAUUUCCGUUUUAUUCAGCUCUGUAAAACUACAAAAAAUUGAUUCUAUCCUCGAUGGCUUGUGCUGUCACGUACUUCAAAGAUAAGGGCGAAAGUAAAAAAGAGUUGAAGGACACCGAAUUCUCCAGUUGUCGACUUUUUAGAACUCGGUCUAUUUUUACGGUUAUUUUUCACAUUUUCCGAAUGGAAAUUUAACUUGAAAGUAGGGAUCCCCGAGGUCUAUUUAGUUUGCAAGCAUCUCAUUGAAGCUGAAAAUUCGUCAUUAUAAGAUUUCUCAGCAUUCGUCUCUUUUGGAAACUUGGAUGGAAUUGCUGCUUCUUCUAAUAUUCUAUCCUCCGAUGGCUUGUGUUGUCACGUACUUCAAAGAUAAGGGCGAAAGUAAAAAAGGGUUGAAGGACACCGAAUUCUCCAGUUGUCGACUUUUUAGAACUCGGUCUAUUUUUACGGUUAUUUUUCACAUUUUCCGAAUGGAAAUUUAACUUGAAAGUAGGGAUCUCCGAGGGCUAUUUAGUUUGCAAGCAUCUCAUUGAAGCUGAAAAUUCGUCAUUAAGAAUCGAGUGAGCUGUUUCGGUAAAAAGCUUCGGGAUUGUUCGAAUUUUUUGAAACAAUUUUAAACUUUAAUUUUUGUCAUUUUAUUAAAUUUUUUUUUUCGGGAGUGUUCGAAAUUCUUAAAAUCGCGAUCGUUAAAAUAAAAAAAAAAUAUUUUGUUUAUCUUUUUAAUUUAAUUUUUGUCAUUUUAUUAAAUUUCUUUUUCGUUUCCGGGAGUGUUCGAAAUUCUUAAAACCGCGAUCGCUUAAAUAUUAAAAAAAGUAUUUUUUUUAUCUUAGUAAUUUAAAAUUCGGGAGUGCGCGAAAUUUUUUAAAUCGUGUGUAUCUUCUCAACCGAAAUAUCUUCAAAUCUUUUCAUCAUUCAUCGGUUGCAGACAAAGUGCGAAGCUGUUUUGCGGGAGAGAAUAAAAGACCAUGACGGAAGGAGAGGUGCCAACUUUGAUGGGUUGAAAGUCGAAAUCGGAGCCAAGUAUAAAG